rnacentral:rRNA from 1 species
UACAUGGGGUGCAAACGUUGCUCGGAAUUAUUGGGCGUAAAGCGCGCGUAGGCGGUUACUUAAGUCGGAUGUGAAAGCCCUCGGCUUAACUGAGGAAGUGCACCCGAAACUGAGUAGCUAGAGUACGAAAGAGGGUCGCGGAAUUCCGGUGUAGAGGUGAAAUUCGUAGAUAUCGGGAGAACACCGGUGGCGAAGGCGGCGACCUGGGUCGAGACUGACGCUGAGGCGCGAAAGCGUGGGGAGCGAACAGG